GAGGUCCAUUUUUCUUCUUUCAAUAAGAUGGUUUCUUGAUACAGAAAAGAUUAGCAUGGCCCCUGCCCAAGAGUGACAUGCACAUUUGUGGAGUGUUAUGUAUUUUU